GGCCCAGGGCAACACCUUCUCCUUCAAAGCCAGUUCAAAGGACGCCAGAUUUGAGGCUUUCCAGACAGGUGUCCUGUGUCCGGCUUAGCUACCAACUGAUUAUAUCUCUGGCUAAGUUUCAACUGCAGAACCUUCUUGGUGCAUGUAUGCUUGCAUGCGCGUCAGAAGACUGAAGUUCCAU
rnacentral:lncRNA from 1 species